AGCUCCUCGGGGCCAGAGCCC
rnacentral:miRNA from 1 species